rnacentral:rRNA from 1 species
AUGCACGCUGGCGGCGUGCCUAAUACCUGCCAGUCGAGCAAACAGACGAGGAGCUUGCUCCUCUGACGUUAGCGGCGGACGGGUGAGUAACACGUGGAUAACCUACCUAUAAGACUGGGAUAACUUCGGGAAACCGGAGCUAAUACCGGAUAAUAUAUUGAACCGCAUGGUUCAAUAGUGAAAGACGGUUUUGCUGUCACUUAUAGAUGGAUCCGCGCCGCAUUAGCUAGUUGGUAAGGUAACGGCUUACCAAGGCAACGAUGCGUAGCCGACCUGAGAGGGUGAUCGGCCACACUGGAACUGAGACACGGUCCAGACUCCUACGGGAGGCAGCAGUAGGGAAUCUUCCGCAAUGGGCGAAAGCCUGACGGAGCAACGCCGCGUGAGUGAUGAAGGUCUUCGGAUCGUAAAACUCUGUUAUUAGGGAAGAACAAAUGUGUAAGUAACUAUGCACGUCUUGACGGUACCUAAUCAGAAAGCCACGGCUAACUACGUG